UCAACGGUAGAGCACCUCAUCUGCAGAUGAAGAGACCCGGGUUCGAAUCCC
rnacentral:tRNA from 12 species